ensembl:lncRNA
GAGACAAGGCAGGGAGGUGACAGGUCUAGGGAGGCCCUGCUAGGGGAAGAGUCUGGGAAAGGUGGUGACAAGUCCUGGGUAAGUGCUGAGUGGUGAGGGCCACAGAAAGGAGCAGCUCCAGUUGGAUCAACAGGUCAUGGGUGGGACUCAUAGUGACCUCGCCACUAACUCUUGAAAGAGUCCCAAUCAAGUGCUGUCUGCUGGAGUGAGAGCCACUCCCUGGUUCCUGGAGGGCACCCACCAACGGACACAGGACUGGAAGCCCAGGCUGGGAAGUGCAACCCGGGGUGAAGGCCAGGGAGAAGCAGGUGCUCUGCAGUGGCCAGGAAAGGUCCAGACUGGGCGGUGGAAUUGCUUCUGUUACGUGCGGGCGUUCUUCUCUGUCUCUGCCAGGCACUCUCGGACUAGGGCUAGGCAUGGAUGAUGCCUCUCUUCAGGCGCCCCAUGGCGCUCUUGCUGCCAGCAUAGUUCUGAAGCAGACUAUGGGAAAUAGGUACUUUGAAGAUUUUUAUAGACUCUGUGUGCCUGCCUGCUUGGUGCUAUGGCUGACCUGGACUGGGGCUUACUUGGUGGGAUGGCUGGACUUGAGAUAA